GGCACACCAGCAACAUCCCCAUUCUGUUUCUCUCUUAACGUACCUGUUGCUUUUAAGCUCUUUACUGCAAAUGAAUCUAUCUCUACUGAUUUUGGUCUGCAUGGUAACUGCUCAGAAUCUAACUUUGGUUUUGCUGUGGGCUCAUUUUCCGCUUUCAGUCGAUGAGA